AAUUCCAUAUCUAUUUCGACAAUUUUCUCCAUAAUCCAUAAUUGAAUGUUCCUUUUCAAUUUUUAAUCGACUCGAACCAUUUAAGAACACAAAUUGUUUGAAAUUACAACUAUUCAUUCUGUCACUUCAACUCUUAUUUGCUUGUCAGAUUUUCAAUUGCAAUUGAACUUCAUCUGUCCUUAAAUUUUCCCCAAUUGCAAAAUCCUGUAUCAAUUAUUUCGCCAUCAAUUUUUUUUAUUAGUUUAUUUAUUUAAUCCUUCAAAUUCAAUUUCGUCAAUUGCCCCUCAAAUUGUUCAGGAAUUCGAAUUUCACAAAGGUUUAUAUGACGAAUCGCAAAUCCUCUUGCUGUGGAAUUUGUGAAAGCUCAAAUCUUGCUUCAAUCUGCAUAGUAUGUGUAAAUUACAGAUUAAAUGAGUACUAUACUUUGCUGAAAUCGGUGCGGAGUCGCCGUGAUCAACUUUACUCGAGGCUUACGGAUAAGUUAGUUGCCAAGGGAAAGGCAGAUGAGCAGCUUAAUUGGAAGAUUGUUCAAAAUGAGAAGAUUUCUGGGCUGAAAGAGAAGCUUCUUAAAUCGAGAGAACAACUUCUGCAUGGGAAAUCAAAAUUGGAGAAAGUGUCUGGUGAUCUUAAAGUGACAUACGCGUUGCUUGAUUUUUCUAAAAACAUGUUAGAAAAACACCGGGUUGAACAGCUGGAGAAGUCUUAUCCUAAUUGGAUAUGCACUCAGAGUUUGGGACAUAUGGCAAUAACCUCGGAGCGUUUACAUAAACAAUCAGUUGUUGUAAAACAAAUCUGCAAGUUGUUUCCACAACGUCUGGUGAAGGUGGAUAAUGAGAAGAAGGAUGGCUUCAAUGGUCAGUACGAUGUAAUUUGCAAUGCUCGAUUACCACGGGGUUUAAAUCCUCAUUCCGUUCCAGCAGAGGAGCUAGCAGCAUCGUUGGGGUACAUGGUGCAAGUGCUGAAUCUUGUUAAUCAUAUCCUGUGUCUGCCUACACUUCACAACUCUGGUUUUGCUGGUUCUUGCUCUCGAAUAUGGCAAAGAGAUUCAUAUUGGGAUGCUCGUCCAUCCUCUAGAAGCAAUGAGUAUCCACUUUUCAUUCCCAGACAAAAUUGUUGCUCUACUGGCGGAGAAAACUCGUGGUCAGAGAGAUCAAGCCAUUUUGAAGUUGCAUCAGUAGAAUCUGAGAGGAAACCCAGACUGGAUCCUUCUGGAAGUAUUAGUUUCAAUUAUUCUUGUGCAUCACCGCAUUCAAUAGAGAGCCACAAUGACUUGCAGAAAGGGAUUGCUCUUCUUAAAAAAAGUGUGGCUUGUAUAACAGCAUACUGUUAUAAUUCUCUGUGCCUUGAUGUUCCCACUGAUGCUUCUACAUUCGAAGCAUUUUCAAAUUUGCUUGCAACUCUUUCUUCGUCCAAGGAAGUCCGAUCCGUUUUCUCCUUGAAGAUGGCAUGUUCAAGAUCUUGUAAGCAAGUUCAGCAAUUGAAUAAAUCUGUGUGGAAUGUGAAUUCUAUGAUGUCAAGCACAAUGCUGGAAAGCGCUCAUGCACAACCUGCUAUGAGAAAUAUGUGGGAUAAAAAUCUUCCGAAUUCUGCACCCAGUUUUCUGUAUGCGGCUGACGUUGCUGAUGUCAGAAAGAAUGAUAACCUCUUUGACGGAUGGGACUUUGUGGAGUAUCCAAAAUUUCCUCCGCCACCAUCUGAAACUGAAGAUAUUGAGCACUGGACUCGAGCCAUGUUCACUGAUGCAACAAAAAAGUAAAUGAAGCUAAAGUUCCUGUAAGUUCUCUAUAACAACGAGAACUGAGAUUGUGCUUUUUUCUUGUUAUUGGUACAUAAAGGAUAUAUGGUUCAAGUUGUGGCAUAUGAAGGGAUCUGGGCUCAACCUGUUGAAUUGUAAUUACUUUGUAUAUAGGAGUAGUUUCCAGCUUAUCCGACCCAUGUAAAUAUAAGAAAUUGAAUCAAAUAUAGUUCAUUUCAUCAAAAUUACAACCUAUGAGCAAAUUUUGCACUAUGAGACAUCAUCGCACGCAUUGAUGAACUAGUUGGGCCGUGCGAUGAACGAUUUGGUUAUAUGUUGGUAGUGUAAUGAAGUUUAGAAGUUAUAUUGUUUUUAACUAGGUGUUAGAAGGUGUUUAAACCAAAUGACAAUAAUAAAAUUUUACGACCUACGAAGUCUUGUCUUUUCAA